AUUUAACGAGGAAAAAAAUAAUCAUAUCGUGUCGCACCGUUUGAUCGUAUCCGCGUGCUGUCCUCCCCGUCCCCCUCCCCCUUUCGCGGAACUCCACUACACCCCCUUUGUCCCUGAAGCCCUAACCUCUUCCUUCCAUUCGAUCUAUCGAAACCCACGAUCCUUUCACCAUUUCUUUUCUUUUUAACUGUCCUCCUUUUUGAUCGAGACCUGAUCCCUGCCCGGAGAAAUUUCUUUGAUUGCGAUUCUUUUCUUUAAAUUGAAACGUUAGGAGGGAACGGAUUGGUGGGCGAUGGCGGGUUCGAGCUCAUGGUCGCGGGCUUUGAUGCAGAUCUCGCCCUAUACGUUCGCGUCCAUCGGGAUCGCGAUCUCCAUCGGCGUUUCCGUUCUCGGGGCCGCUUGGGGAAUUUAUAUUACGGGGAGCAGCUUAAUUGGUGCGGCGAUCAAAGCUCCAAGAAUCACCUCAAAGAAUCUCAUUAGUGUCAUCUUCUGCGAGGCUGUUGCUAUAUAUGGUGUAAUUGUUGCAAUCAUUCUACAAACAAAGUUGGAAAGCGUACCAGACUCACAGAUAUAUGCUCCAGAGUCUCUAAGAGCUGGAUAUGCAAUAUUUGCCUCUGGAAUCAUUGUGGGUUUUGCAAAUCUGGUCUGUGGUCUUUGUGUUGGAAUAAUUGGAAGCAGCUGUGCUUUGUCUGAUGCUCAGAACUCCACCCUCUUUGUAAAGAUUCUGGUGAUCGAAAUCUUUGGUAGCGCGCUUGGAUUAUUUGGUGUGAUUGUUGGAAUAAUUAUGUCAUCUCAAGCAACAUGGCCAGCAAAGACAGCAUGAACUGUUGUUUCAAGAACCAAACAGGGCUGAUUGCUUGGGAGAAUUCCUUAUGCCAAAUAAAGAAGAUGCUUUUGUUUGGAUUCCUGAUGGUAGUGCCUUUAUCUGAAAGCACCAGUGCCCAAAUCUAAGCAACAAGUACUCUUCCAAAAGCCGUAGCAAGAUGCUCCCUGGAUUUGAUCGUGGUAUGAUGGUUAUAUUGGUAGAGAAGGGUGACUUGCUGACAUGGUAGUUAAAGAAUAGAUGUUUGACAGAAUUACAUUGCUGGUAGAAAUGGCACUGCCAUGUUCAACAAAUGUCAUUCAGUGCGAAAAAAUUGCAUACUAAACCCUGCUGGCUUUCAGGCAUGUCGAACUCUGCACGCCACCUCUGGGAUGGUGAAGAUUAAUUGGCCGGAAUAGCUGGUACAUGAACGUUGAACGGGGCCCACAUUUCAUCAAACGAAAAUAACCAAAUUAAAUACUGCAUGGGGGUUUGCCUUUCUUCUUCUUCUUCUUUUGAAGUUUGUCCAAGAAGAUGCAUAUAGAAUUCAAGCCUGCCAUACGGAAAAGAAAUUGUCAUCGGAUCAAGAUUUAAUAAAUAUACAUCUUAAAACUUCACAGGUUUGCAAACUUCCCCAGGGUGUUUCAUCUCUCCGAACAUCAAAUUGUGUAUUUAACUAUAGCGGCUCAAAACCAAAAUUGAUUUGAAGAGGUCAUCCUUCUGAAGUUUAUGACAUCAUAACAGUGGGAUUUUUGUAGGAGAAGGGCGCUCAUGAAGUUUGUGACAUCAUAACAAAGAGACUUUUGUAGGAGAAGGACGCUCAUGAAUCUUUGCUGCUGCUGCUGUUGUGAUGACGAUAUUGAAGUAACUAACAGCCUUCAGCUUACCUUGAUCAUGAACCCUAUGAUUGCAUUCACAGUGUUCACUGUUCAUAGAUGCCUUCUUGUGCUAAACGUCCAGGGAACAAGCAGACAGCCCUCCUAUCAUCAGAAACUGUUUUGGUUGAUCCAGAUAUAGGACUUAAAUUUGCUCAUAUAUUUUGGAAAGUUUCCAGGGAUCAUAUUGGUUUUAUUUAUUUAUUUCUUUACAUACCAUUCAUAACCAUGCAUGGGAACUCAA